CGUGUAGGCGGUCAGGUAAGUGGAAUGUGAAAUGCCCCGGCUCACCCGGGGACCUGCAUCCCAAACUGCCUGGCUUGAGUAUGGGAGAGGAUGGAGGAAUUCCUGGUGUAGCGGUGAAAUGCGUAGAUAUCAGGAGGAACACCGGUGGCGAAGGCGUCCAUCUGGCCCAAUACUGACGCUGAUGUGCGAAAGCUAGGGGAGCAAACGGGAUUAGAUACCCCGGUAGUCCUAGCCGUAAACGGUGAUCACUAGGUGUUGGGGGCAUCGACCCCUCCAGUGCCGCAGCUAACGCAUUAAGUGAUCCGCCUGGGGAGUACGGCCGCAAGGUUGAA
rnacentral:rRNA from 1 species